AGCGGUAAGGUGGUACUAUUCGUAAGCCUUACUUAUAGAUCAACACUACUCCUAUUAUCAUAUAGAGGACAGAGUAGUCAAAUGGUUGAGGACGCUAUUGCUAAACAUAAAACCAAGUCUCCAGGUGUUGUGUGUAUCAAUCAGCCCACUGUAUCAAUCUUUUAAUAAAUUAUAAGGUCCCCACUGCUUGAUACUUCACCAAAUACUGGCUACACCAGAAGAUGACUAAAUGUUCUUAACACUUAAUAACUACCACAAGCAUCACUUCUGGGUCACUGAAGGGUCCAAUCGUUCAAUUACGGAAAUGAUAAAGUUGAUGAAAUUGCUCAAAGGUUGUCUGGCACCUUCUUAACUCAGAGACAUAGGAAUGUGGAUGGAUUAUGACAUACCUUGCACAAAUCAACUACCAGGCUUAUAUUGGAUUUGAAUCCCAAAGGAAAGAGAAAGUUUGUUAUCCAAAACAAACAUGGAAAAUAUCAGAAACCAACAAAGCACAAGCAGGCAGAAUGUCAUGGACCCAACUUUAGGGAAUCUCCCAAAACCAAGUAUAAAAAGAGAGAGGUGUGGUUGUGUCUCUCAGCUCCACAAGGGUCAACAAGAAUGAGGACAACAUUGAUUUUUGUAAUAAUUUUAGAUCAGAUUUUCAAUUUUUUUUGGAUUAGUUGGAUCAGGUUAACAGUUUGAUACAUAUUGCAUUUAAGUACUUAACGAAAAGAAAAGAUUCUCUUACCAAAAUAGUCUAAGAACAAUGCUGAUUUGUAAAUUAAUAAAUUGUUUCCUUUUGUAAUAAUAUAAUAAUUUAAGU